GCACUCCGUGAGGAUGUCCAGCAUCAGAUAAGUGCGAUUUUGUAAAUCGCGGAAGCUCCUCUAUUGGCUGUCAGGGAUACAGCCACUGGAGGCUGGAUUAACCCUGCAAUGUACACAGCAGUGUCUCUGAAACUGCUAUGUUUUCAGCUGAAGGGUUAAAACCAGGAGGACCUGGCACCCAGACCACUUCAUUGAGCUGAAGAGGUCUGGGUGCUUAUAGUGGUCCUUUAAGUAACUCAGACUUGAGAGAAGCAGGUAUCAAGCGGUCAGCCAUUUACUCAGCUAGUCCACAUUUGGAAGAUUGCUCCAAGCCCACUUAGGAAAACGUAAGUAUCGUUGCCUCUGCACCAUACCGUCAAGGCAGGAUGCCUCAGCCCCUCCACUCUCCAAGCCCAGGCUUUAGUAAAAUAAACAGUGCUAAAGGACCGCUGGACCUUCCAUAACGGAUGGUAGGGCUAAUGUCCCGUGAGACUCCCAUGUUGCAGAGAGGCCUCCAAGGUUGUGGAUGGCAGACUGGAUCACCUCCAUCUUGAUUCCUAGCCCAGAGGGAGAGCUGCAUCCCGAGACAUCAUCCAUGGCACCAACAUCAGCGGAUAAGGUGAGUUUUAAUUCACAAGUGUGAAUAAGCGGCAAAACUGCUCACAAACUGCUUUAUAUUUUGUCUGUUACUCUUCUUCCCACUCAUGUAAUAUGCUCCCUGUUAGUACAGAUGCCAUUAUGGUGUCGCCACAUGGACUCAUAGAAUCUGGCUGCCUUGGGCACAACUACAGAUUCUUCUCUGGUCUGGAUCAGGAUAAUCCCCGCUGGUCCAAAGAUGGGGCAAACAGAGCUUCAACUAUAGCUUUCAAAGACUGCAGGCCAGGACAUCGGCCUUUUCUCCUCUCCUUGGAACACACCAGGCCAUGUAGGCCGCAAUCUGGAGUUUAUUGAUGGGGGAUUCACAAGUGGUACCAGGGAGCCCCUCUGUAUGCUCAAUCAAGCAAGUUGUUGCUGGAGUUUGUCCAAAGGCUGCUAACAGCAAUAUUAGUACAUGUAGUGGAGAUUUAGCAGGGAGCUCUCCCCAAAUACAUCUUCCCACCACAAAGGACAGGCUUUUAUAUAACUCCCCUUGUCUGAAUUUAUUUUUUUUCUUGAAUUCUGGUUUUCAUAAAAUACAUUAGAAAAGUAAGAACAUUUCUAUCCUUAAUUUAUAACAUUAAAUUAAUAUUUACAUUUUUAUUAUUUCUUUUAACACUUCGUCUGCUGGCUGCUUGUGUUGCCAGUGGUCAAAGAAGGAAGAAUUUUUAUAGGAUCAUCUGCAAAAAGCAGAUGAGUUUAGUUUGCAAAUUUGCCUUCUACAUGAUUUGUUCACAGUGAAUCCAAUUCAAAUUCAGUGUUUGAUAAAUAUGCAAAUACUAUAUUGUAUGUUGGAAUCCCACCUGCAAAUUACUUAUUUUAAACCAGGCCCUGGUUGGAAAGAAAUGUGUGCAUUCAUUUGAAAUAACCGCAUUCCAACUGGAUUUGCCUUUAGUAAAUAAAAGAAUUGCAAAUCCAGGUACUUUUCACUGAAUUUUGUUUAUGUGAACCAAAUUCAGACUUUAAAGGAAUUAUCUAGUAUUCCUAGCACUAUAGUUCCCUCUGGAUCCCUUCACCUCCAGGAGAUAAGGGGUUAAAACAAAACUUAUUUACUUACCCUAACUGCCUCCUCUGACAUCAUUCGAUGGAGCCAGGGGGGAGAGGGGGGACUUAUGUGUAUGUGUGGUAAGUGCAUUAGGCCCUCCCCAUAGGAAAACAUUGCCUCAAUACUUUCCUAUGAGGAUUUAACUGAUGCUGUAUGCCCUCAUGUUAUUAUUUAGAAAGCGCCAACAAAUUCCGCAGCCCUGUACAAUGGGUGCACUAACAGACACGUAUUUAUAACUAGAUGAGUUGGAUACACAGGAACAGAGGGGUUGAGGGCUCUGCUCACUGAGCUUACAUGCUAGAGGGAGUCAUCAUUAUGUUCAGCGUCAUUAAGGUGAUGUCACGUAUUCAUCCGCUUAUAAAAAUGUGGUUAAUGGCAUUUACUGUCCACACAGGAAAAGUUGUGCCGAGCAGCAACCAAAUCCACAGAAGGGUUAAUGCUCAGCAGUAAUUAUGCAAAUGGGAACCUGAUAACUGCCUUUGGGGUCAAAGGCCGGUUACGGCCAAUCAGAUCUAGAGGAGGGGUAUUUAGGCCCAGUUCUCAUCCUGCUCAGUGCCCUGUCGUGGUUUCCCUAGUGGUUGUCCAAGAGCGCGUUCCUGAUUCAAGUUUCUUCUGGUUUUUUACUUUGGCUUUGAUUUUGACUAACCUGUAUUCUGGUACCCCUGACUUCUGGCUUUCCCUUAUCGUUGUGUCUCUUUCUGUAUCCCCUGACCUCUGCAAGUAUCCUGACUACUCUUUGGUACGUUAAAUCUGGCCAUUCUAAGGCCCGGUUGUGAAGGACUGUUAUGUGUUUACCUGUGUGCUUUCAGUUUAACCCUCUCCCUGCUGUUUAAAUGCCUGUAUUAGUUUGGUUCAAUAUAUAGGGAAUAAAUGUAUUCGUUUACCAAAAGAGGACCACACACCCUGGGUAGCAAUUAGCAUUAGAACGCGGAGAAAACCGCAACUUAAUUGCUACUAGGUGGCUGCCAUUCGACAUACGAACACGUGGCGAGAACAAAGGAUGGCGGCCAAAACUCACGAAUGCGGUCAGUGGGGCUUACGCAUGAAUUUCGUGGAACUAAUUUCGGAACGCAAACAUGCGAACGCCCGGUCACCACGGAAGUCCUGGAUGAAUACGUUCCCCUACACGAAUCCAACUAGCGUUCGGUAGAUAGAAUCUACUGAAUAAGGGGAACAUUCACAGGUAACCAGCUGCACCAUAAGAACGGUGGUUUUCGUGCAGUUAGAUGCGUACAGAGACCGGCUCUUGCUACUGAUUCUCUGGAACUCAAAAUCGAUACCUCCACAUGGCGAGCUGGUCAAACUUCCACACGAUGCGACACGGAAAUGGAAAUUCGUGAGAUUUGGAUAUAUGACUACUCAGCUACCCAGGGAUGUUGAAAUUAUGUUUGUAUGUGGCAUAAAAAGUACUUUUCUAAAAUUGUUAAAAACUGUAAUAUUUUUGGCCAGCAGAUAAUUGAGCUUUGUGUAUUGUAGAAACUCAAUUAUCUAGCCUGGCCCAGAGGAGGAGUUUUGUGUUGCAUAAAUUGUGAGUUCUGUGUGCCAGUAAAUCAGUCUUGUUCCAGCAUUAAGCUUUGGUUCAUGUGUGGAUUAUUCGGCGAUUCCAGGGAUAUUUCUACUCGUGGAAUAUUGG